AGCAGCCGCGGUAAUUCCAGCUCCAAUAGUGUAUAUUAAAGUUGUUGCAGUUAAAAAGCUCGUAGUUGAAUUUCGGGAUCAAUAUGCUGGUCGUGCCAUUGGUACGUACUAGUAUUAUUGGUUUCUUCCUUCUGAUGAAUCAUGAUGUCAUUAAGUUGAUGUUAUGGAGAAUCAGGACUGUUACUUUGAAAAAUUAGAGUGUUUAAAGCAGGCUCGCGCUUGAAUACAUUAGCAUGGAAUAAUGAAAUAGGACGUUUGAUUCUAUUUUGUUGGUUUCUAGGAUUGACGUAAUGAUUAAUAGGGAUAGUUGGGGGCAUUAGUAUUCAAUUGUCAGAGGUGAAAUUCUUGGAUUUAUUGAAGACUAACUACUGCGAAAGCAUUUGCCAAGGAUGUUUUCAUUAAUCAAGAACGAAAGUUAGGGGAUUGAAGACGAUCAGAUACCGUCGUAGU
rnacentral:rRNA from 1 species